rnacentral:lncRNA from 1 species
UUUUAUAUUUUUAUUUUAUAUAAAUUUGUUAUAUAUAUAUAUAAAUGUAUUUUAUAUGAUGGUCAGGAACUUGGAAAGAACACGACUGGGAAUUUGUCAGACAUCUGGGGAAGAAGUCUAUUGAUAGAUUGAUCCAAAUGGAUGAAGGGUACGAUGAUCACUUGUGUCCCAUGUAAAUGUUCAUUAAAAAAGUGACUUCGACUUCGGCAGAGAAGUUCAGUAAUGAAAUAAGAUGACCUGUUCUGAGGACAGUCAGCCUCUUUCGACCCAGCUAUCUCUGUAAUUGCCCAGUGGGCACAUGAACAGAGUGACCACAGUGGCAGAGAUGGAGGUUAUGUAUGGGCUCAACAACAUAAAUUUCCACUCACUGAGGCUAACGUUGGCAAUGGCUGCUGAUGCUGAGUGCCAGAUCUGUCAAGAGCAGAAACCAACACUGAACCCCAGAUACGGCACCAUUCCCUGAGAUAACUAAGCAGCUAUCUGAUGCCAGGUUGAUUUCACUGGACUAGUACUCCUUCCUGGGGUAGAUACUUAUUCUGUUUGUGGAAUUGCCUUUCCUGCACAGUAUUGCUUCUGACCAAGGAACUCGCUUCAUAGCCAGAGAAGUACGACAGUGGGCCCACAAUCAUGGAAUCCUCUGGUCUUAUAAUGCUCUCCACCAUCCUGAAGCAGCUGCCCUGACAAAGAUAGAAUGGCCUUUUGAAGACACAGUUCCAGUGCUAAUUAGGUGGCCGAAGCCUGGGACACUGGGGCUGGGUUCUCUAGAAAGCAGUGUAUGCUUUAAAUCAGUGUUCAGUGUAAGGUACAGUUUCUCCCAUAGCCAGGACCUACAGUUCCAGGAAUCAAGAGGUGGAAAAGGCAGUAGUUCUAUUCACUGUCACCCCUAGUGACCAUUAGGGAAAAUUUUGCCCCCUUUUUCUGUGACCUUAAGUUUUGCUGGCCUGGAAGUUUUGGUCCCAGACCAGAUCUGGAAGCAUUCCUACCAGGAGCCACUAAUAAACAUUCCAUUAAACUGGAAGCUCAGACUUCCCCCUGGGCUUCUGAUGCCCUUAAGCCAAGGCUAGGAAAGAAAUGACAGUGUUAGGAGGGGUGACUGAUCCAGAUUACCAAGGGGGCAUUGGAUUCUUCUUCACAAUUGAGAUAAAAACGAUGUUUGGAGCCACGAGAGGUCUUGAGGGUCUCUCUUGGUUACUACCAUGUGUUAUGGUUAAAGCUAAUGGGAAACUACAACAGUCUAAUCCAGGUAGGAUGACAAAGGGCACGGACCCUUCAGCAAUGAAGGUAACGGGUCAUUCUGAGAAAAGAGCCAAGACCUGCUGAGGUGCUUGCUUGAAGGUGGAGGAAAUACAGAAUGGGUAAUAGAGGAAGAUACUUAAAAAUACCAGCUAAGGCCACAUGAUCAGUUGCACAAGUGGCUUAUAAUUGGCAUUAUGAUGCUCUCCACCAUCCUGAAGCAGCUGCCCUGACUGAAAGAUAGAAUGGCCUUUUGAAGACACAGUUCCAGUGCUAAUUAGGUGGCCGCAGCCUGGGACACUGGGGCUGGGUUCUCUAGAAAGCAGUGUAUGCUUUAAAUCAGUGUUCAGUGUAAGGUACAGUUUCUCCCAUAGCCAGGAUCUAUACUUUGUUAAGAAUGUGUUUGUACAAUUAUUUUUCUUUCCUCAAUGUGUAUGUAAUAUCAAUUAAGAGGAUAUCAGGUUAAAAUAUUUAAGUUUGAGAGACUAAAAAUAUCCCUCAAUGGACCUUGCCACCUAUUCUCAAGCUUACGUAUUUGCAGUUGCAUGAGGGAUAGUUAUAUCAUGUUAGGUGUAAUUAUGAAGUGGCUAAAUAUAUAAGGCGUUUGUGAUUGUACAUGGGGUAGUUAAAUCAGGUAAGGUAUAAUUAUGGCCUGGUUAUUCUCAUUUGGGAUUUAAGGAUGACAUAAGAAGAUAUAAUUGUGUGUCAAGUUGAUAAGGAGGGGACUUAAGAUGUCUGUUCUUGGUUGUCGACUUGACUACACCUGAAGUUGACUAACACCCAAGCAGCUGGCUACACCUAAGAGGAAUUUCUUCUUUAAUCAUUUGAAGUGGGAAGACCUACUUUUAAUCUGGGCACACUAUCUGGUAGCAGCAUAUAUAAAGGAUACUUCCUCAUAGCCUGCCUGCUCUCAAUCUUGCCGGCAAGUCCAUUCCUUCAAUGGCAUUAGAGCUUCUUCUUUGGGAUUCUGGUGUGUACUGAAGACCAGCUGAGACAUCCAGCCUCAUGGACUGAGCAAUUACUGGAUUCUUGGAGCUUCCGUUGGUAGACAGCCAUUGUUAGACUAGUUGGACUGUAUUCAUUCUAUAAGUUCUAUUCCUUUAGCUAAUACAGCAACUCUAUCCUUGUUUAGUCUGGCCUGUUAGGGCCUGUGCAUCCCAGAGCAGUGGGCCUCCCCUUCAUUCUUAACACCCUGUGAUGGUUAGUACUGGUUGUCAGCAGGGUCUAGAAUCAUUUAGAAGAGAACCUUUGGGGGAGGAGAAAGCAAGCUGGGCAGCAGCCUUCCUCUCCCUCGCUUCCUGACUAAGGGCACUGUGUUGCCAGCUGUCUCCUGCUCCUGCCACCGGAUUAUCCCAGAGCACUGUACCCUAAACCUGUGAAGGCAGAACAAACUUCCUUCCUGUUUUACUAUCAGGAAUUGGUCUCGGCACUGAGAAAAGUAACCAUUUUGGACUUGAAUUUGGCAACGUGGUAACAGAUUUGUCAAACUGAUCCUGGGAAUUUAGACUCACCAAACCUUCAAGUGUUUUAUUUCCUGUUACUAUAUACUUACUGGUAAGAAUUUUUUAAAUGGUACUCUUUUUAAUAUUUAAUAAAUAGAACUUAGAAAAUACCUGUUUUCAGUAAUAAAGUUUGGGCUAAGUAAA